UACGUAGGGGGCAAGCGUUGUCCGGAAUCAUUGGGCGUAAAGAGCGUGUAGGCGGCCCGGUAAGUCCGCUGUGAAAGUCCAGGGCUCAACCCUGGGAUGCCGGUGGAUACUGUCGGGCUCGAGUCCGGAAGAGGAGUGUGGAAUUCCUGGUGUAGCGGUGAAAUGCGCAGAUAUCAGGAGGAACACCGAUUGCGGAGGCAGCUCGCUGGGACGUCACUGACGCUGAGACGCGAAAGCGUGGGGAGCAAACAGG
rnacentral:rRNA from 1 species